rnacentral:rRNA from 1 species
GUGGGGAAUUUUGGACAAUGGGCGCAAGCCUGAUCCAGCAAUGCCGCGUGCAGGAUGAAAGCCUUCGGGUUGUAAACUGCUUUUGUACGGAACGAAAAGCCCUGGGUUAAUACCCUGGGGUCAUGACGGUACCGUAAGAAUAAGCACCGGCUAACUACGUGCCAGCAGCCGCGGUAAUACGUAGGGUGCGAGCGUUAAUCGGAAUUACUGGGCGUAAAGCGUGCGCAGGCGGUUUUGUAAGACAGAGGUGAAAUCCCCGGGCUCAACCUGGGAACUGCCUUUGUGACUGCAAGGCUAGAGUACGGCAGAGGGGGAUGGAAUUCCGCGUGUAGCAGUGAAAUGCGUAGAUAUGCGGAGGAACACCGAUGGCGAAGGCAAUCCCCUGGGCCUGUACUGACGCUCAUGCACGAAAGCGUGGGGAGCAAACAGGAUUAGAAACCCUUGUAGUCC